AGAGUUUGAUCCUGGCUCAGGAUGAACGCUGGCGGCGUGCCUAAUACAUGCAAGUCGAGCGAACGGACGAGAAGCUUGCUUCUCUGAUGUUAGCGGCGGACGGGUGAGUAACACGUGGAUAACCUACCUAUAAGACUGGGAUAACUUCGGGAAACCGGAGCUAAUACCGGAUAAUAUUUUGAACCGCAUGGUUCAAAAGUGAAAGACGGUCUUGCUGUCACUUAUAGAUGGAUCCGCGCUGCAUUAGCUAGUUGGUAAGGUAACGGCUUACCAAGGCAACGAUGCAUAGCCGACCUGAGAGGGUGAUCGGCCACACUGGAACUGAGACACGGUCCAGACUCCUACGGGAGGCAGCAGUAGGGAAUCUUCCGCAAUGGGCGAAAGCCUGACGGAGCAACGCCGCGUGAGUGAUGAAGGUCUUCGGAUCGUAAAACUCUGUUAUUAGGGAAGAACAUAUGUGUAAGUAACUGUGCACAUCUUGACGGUACCUAAUCAGAAAGCCACGGCUAACUACGUGCCAGCAGCCGCGGUAAUACGUAGGUGGCAAGCGUUAUCCGGAAUUAUUGGGCGUAAAGCGCGCGUAGGCGGUUUUUUAAGUCUGAUGUGAAAGCCCACGGCUCAACCGUGGAGGGUCAUUGGAAACUGGAAAACUUGAGUGCAGAAGAGGAAAGUGGAAUUCCAUGUGUAGCGGUGAAAUGCGCAGAGAUAUGGAGGAACACCAGUGGCGAAGGCGACUUUCUGGUCUGUAACUGACGCUGAUGUGCGAAAGCGUGGGGAUCAAACAGGAUUAGAUACCCUGGUAGUCCACGCCGUAAACGAUGAGUGCUAAGUGUUAGGGGGUUUCCGCCCCUUAGUGCUGCAGCUAACGCAUUAAGCACUCCGCCUGGGGAGUACGACCGCAAGGUUGAAACUCAAAGGAAUUGACGGGGACCCGCACAAGCGGUGGAGCAUGUGGUUUAAUUCGAAGCAACGCGAAGAACCUUACCAAAUCUUGACAUCCUUUGACAACUCUAGAGAUAGAGCNNNNNNNNNNNUUCCCCUUCGGGGGACAAAGUGACAGGUGGUGCAUGGUUGUCGUCAGCUCGUGUCGUGAGAUGUUGGGUUAAGUCCCGCAACGAGCGCAACCCUUAAGCUUAGUUGCCAUCAUUAAGUUGGGCACUCUAAGUUGACUGCCGGUGACAAACCGGAGGAAGGUGGGGAUGACGUCAAAUCAUCAUGCCCCUUAUGAUUUGGGCUACACACGUGCUACAAUGGACAAUACAAAGGGCAGCGAAACCGUGAGGUCAAGCAAAUCCCAUAAAGUUGUUCUCAGUUCGGAUUGUAGUCUGCAACUCGACUACAUGAAGCUGGAAUCGCUAGUAAUCGUAGAUCAGCAUGCUACGGUGAAUACGUUCCCGGGUCUUGUACACACCGCCCGUCACACCACGAGAGUUUGUAACACCCGAAGCCGGUGGAGUAACCUUUUAGGAGCUAGCCGUCGAAGGUGGGACAAAUGAUUGGGGUGAAGUCGUAACAAGGUAGCCGUAUCGGAAGGUGCGGCUGGAUCACCU
rnacentral:rRNA from 1 species